UCGGAUGUGGUGCACGGCGCACACCUGCCUCACCUAUGAUAAAUCCGGAUAUGAAUUUGUAGGUAGGAAGCCCGGGUUCGACUCCCGGCGUUCGAA